CCUUCCUCCUUCCUCCUUCUUCCUUCCUUCCUCCCUCCUUCCUUCCUUCCUUCCCUCCCUCCCUCCUUCCUCCUUCCUUCCUUCCUUCCUUCCGUCCUUCCUUCCUUCCUCCCUCCUCCUUCCUUCCUUCCUCCUUCCUUCCUUCCUCCUUCCUCCCUCCCUCCUUCCUUCCUUCCUUCCUUCCUUCUUCCUUCCUUCUUCCUUCCUUCCUUCCUCCUUCCUUCCUUCCUUCUUCCUUCCUUCCUUCCUCCUUCCUUCCUUCCCUCCCUCCUUCCUUCCUUCCUUCCUUCCUUCCUUCCUUCCUUCCUUCCUUCCUCCUUCCUCCUUCCUUCCUUCCUCCCUCCCUCCUUCCUUCCUUCCUUCUUCCCUCCCUCCUUCCUUCCUUCCCUCCCUCCCUCCUUCCUUCCUUCCUUCCUCCUUCCUUCCUCCUUCCUUCCUUCCUCCUUCCUUCCUCCUCCUCCUUCCUUCCUUCCUUCCUGCCUUCCUUCCUCCUUCCUUCCUUCCUCCCUCCCUCCCUCCCUCUUUUCUUCCUUCCUUCUUCCUUCCUUCCUUCCUCCUUCCCUCCCUCCCUCCUUCCUUCCUCCUUCCUUCCCUCCCUCUUUCCUUCCUUCCUUCCUUCCUUCCUUCCUUCCUUCCUUCCUUCCUUCCUUCCUUCCUUCCUCCUUCCUUCCUCCCUCCUUCCUUCCUUCCUUCCUUCUUCCCUCCCUCCUUCCUUCCUUCCUCCCUCCUCCUUCCUUCCUUCCUUCCUCCUUCCUCCUUCCUUCUUCCUUCUUCCUUCCCUCCCUCCCUCCUUCCUUCCUCCCUCCCUCCUUCCUUCACUUCCUUCCUUCCUUCAUUCCUUCCUUCUUCCUUCCUCCUCCCUCCCUCCCUCCCUCUUUUCUUCCUUCCUUCUUCCUUCUUCCUUCCUCCUUCCCUCCCUCCCUCCUUCCUCCUUCCCUCCCUCCCUCUUUCCUUCCUUCCUUCCUCCUUCCUUCCUCCUUCCUUCCUCCUUCCUUCCUCCUUCCUUCCUUCCUUCCUCCCUUCCUUCCUUCCUUCCUCCCUUCCUUCCUCCUCCCUCCUUCCUCCUUCCUUCUUCCUCCUUCCUUCCUUCUUCCUUCUUCCUUCCUUCUUCCUUCUUCCUUCCUUCCUUCCUUCCUACAAUAGAAAAUUGUGGUAUCUCAUUCAGUUUAAAAGUGUAA
rnacentral:lncRNA from 1 species